rnacentral:rRNA from 1 species
GGAUUAGAUACCCUGGUAGUCCACGCCGUAAACGAUGCGCACUAGGUCGGGGAGGUUUUGACGCCAUCCCGGCCGAAGCCAAUGUGUUAAGUGCGCCGCCUGGGGAGUACGGUCGCAAGGCUAAAACUCAAAGGAAUUGACGGGGACUCACACAAGCGGUGGAGCAUGUGGCUUAAUUCGAAACAACGCGAAGAACCUUAUCCUGGGUUUGACAUGCACGGAUUAGCGCCCCGAAAAGGGCGUGACACCCUCGGGUGGAACGUGCACAGGUGCUGCAUGGCUGUCGUCAGCUCGUGUCG